UGGGGAAUAUUGGACAAUGGGCGAAAGCCUGAUCCAGCCAUGCCGCGUGUGUGAAGAAGGUCUUAUGGUUGUAAAGCACUUUAAGCGAGGAGGAGGGUACUGGUAUUAAUACUACCAGGUACUGGACGUUACUCGCAGAAUAAGCACCGGCUAACUCUGUGCCAGCAGCCGCGGUAAUACAGAGGGUGCGAGCGUUAAUCGGAUUUACUGGGCGUAAAGCGUGCGUAGGCGGCUAAUUGAGUCGGAUGUGAAAUCCCCGAGCUUAACUUGGGAAUUGCAUUCGAUACUGGUUAGCUAGAGUGUGGGAGAGGAUGGUAGAAUUCCAGGUGUAGCGGAGAAAUGCGUAGAGAACUGGAGGAAUACCGAUGGCGAAGGCAGCCAUCUGGCCUAACACUGACGCUGAGGUACGAAAGCAUGGGGAGCAAACAGG
rnacentral:rRNA from 1 species